GGUGGCUGACCAGGAGAGCACACUGGAGAAGGUGGAGGUAGCUGGCUUCUACAUGACCACCAACCUGCAGGAGCUGAUGCUGCAGAUGAACCUGCUGGAGUUCAUCCGAAAGCUGCAGCAGAGGUGCUGCCAGGCAGGGAAGGCAUCCCUGGGACUGGGAGGUUGCUGGCAGCCUCCUGCUGCCCAGUGUGACAAGGAAGGCAGUCCUGUCCCAACAUAGCCACAGACAGCAGAAGGCUGGGCAGAGUACAUCUUCUUGACCUUUGGCCACUGCCUUCGCAGCUGCCUGCAGGGGUCUCCCUGCUGAGGAGAGGCCAGGUGGACCCUGGCUGCCUGUCCCCACCUUCAUCUGGGACUUUCUGCCAAAUGGUAGGAUGGUCUCAUAAAAGGGAGGCGGGCGCAGUCUGCCACUGUCUGCCUCAGGGCCAGGCAGAUUGGGCAUGGGGGUUCUCACACCUUUUCACUCUGCGGGGCACAUCCCAACCUGCACUGGGGCCCACCUGAGUGCUUGUUCUGGUCUCAGCCACUCCCUUGGCAGCUGCAGCCCCCAAGCAGAAGAGGCUCCAAGGCCCAAGUUCUGUGUGACUCAGAGAAAUAAAGAUGCCUCAGUGUGGCCUGCA